UACGUAGGGUGCGAGCGUUGCCCGGAUUUAUUGGGCGUAAAGGGCGCGUAGGCGGUCACGCACGUCCGUUGUGAAAUCGCUCGGCUCAACUGGGCGGGGUCAGCGGAUACGGCGUGGCUGGAGCAAGCUAGGGGGCAAUGGAAUUCCCGGUGUAGUGGUGGAAUGCGUAGAUAUCAAGUGGAACACCAGUGGCGAAGGCGAGUCCCUGGACAACUCCUGACACUGAGGCACGAAAGCUAGGGGAGCAAACAGG
rnacentral:rRNA from 1 species